GAUGAAGAACGUAGCGAAAUGCGAUAAGUAGUGUGAAUUGCAGAAUUCAGUGAAUCAUCGAAUCUUUGAACGCACAUUGCGCCCGCCAGUAUUCUGGCGGGCAUGUCUGUUCGAGCGUCAUUUCAACCCUCAAGCACAGCUUGGUGUUGGGACUCGCGUUAAUUCGCGUUCCCCAAAUUGAUUGGCGGUCACGUCGAGCUUCCAUAGCGUAGUAGUAAAACCCUCGUUACUGGUAAUCGUCGCGGCCACGCCGUUAAACCCCAACUUCUGAAUGUUGACCUCGGAUCAGGUAGGAAUACCCGCUGAACUUAAGCAUAUCAAUAAGCGGAGGA
rnacentral:misc_RNA from 1 species